GCCGGGGUGGGGUAAUGGAUAUCCUUGGGGACUGUGGAUCCCCGGACCCGGGUUCGAUUCCCGGUCCCGGCC
rnacentral:tRNA from 5 species